AUUGAACGCUGGCGGCAUGCCUUACACAUGCAAGUCGAACGGUAACGGGCCUUCGGGUGCCGACGAGUGGCGAACGGGUGAGUAAUGCAUCGGAACGUACCUUUCAGUGGGGGAUAACGUAGCGAAAGUUACGCUAAUACCGCAUAUUCUGUGAGCAGGAAAGCAGGGGAUCGCAAGACCUUGCGCUGAUUGAGCGGCCGAUGUCAGAUUAGCUAGUUGGUGAGGUAAAGGCUCACCAAGGCGACGAUCUGUAGCGGGUCUGAGAGGAUGAUCCGCCACACUGGAACUGAGACACGGUCCAGACUCCUACGGGAGGCAGCAGUGGGGAAUUUUGGACAAUGGGGGCAACCCUGAUCCAGCCAUGCCGCGUGAGUGAAGAAGGCCUCGGUG
rnacentral:rRNA from 1 species